rnacentral:piRNA from 1 species
UCCACUUCAGACAGGUGCUUGAGAGGA